AGUGGCGAAAGGGUGAGUAACACUUGGGUAACUUGCCCUCGAGAUUGGAAUAACCUGCCGAAAGGCGGGCUAAUACCGAAUAAGACUACAGUAAUCAAGGUUACGGUGGUAAAAGAUGGCCUCUACAUGUAAGCUGUCACUUGAGGAUGGGCCCGAGUCCUAUUAGCUUGUUGGUGGGGUAAAAGCCUACCAAGGCAAUGAUGGGUAGCUGGUCUGAGAGGAUGGUCAGCCACACUGGGACUGAGACACUGCCCAGACUCCUACGGGAGGCUGCAGUCGAGAAUCUUUCGCAAUGGGGGAAACCCUGACGAAGCGACGCCUCGUGGACGAUGAAGGUAUUCGGAUCGUAAAGUCCUGUCACAGGGGACGAAAAUCUUAGGGUUAAUAACCUUAAGACUUGACGGUACCCUGAGAGGAAGCCCCGGCUAACUCCGUGCCAGCAGCCGCGGUAAUACGGAGGGGGCAAGCGUUGUUCGGAUUUAUUGGGCGUAAAGAGUCUGUAGGCGGCAUAGUAAGUCAGAUGUGAAAUCUCUGGGCUUAACCCAGAAACUGCAUUUGAAACUGCUAAGCUAGAGUACCAAAGAGGCACAUGGAAUUCUCGGUGUAAGAGUGAAAUCUGCAGAUAUCGAGAAGAACACCAGUGGCGAAGGCGAUGUGCUGGGUGGAUACUGACGCUGAGAGACGAAAGCUAGGGGAGCGAACGGGAUUAGAUACCCCGGUAGUCCUAGCCGUAAACGAUGGACACUAGGUGUUGGGAGGGUUACCUCUCGGUGCCGCAGUUAACGCAUUAA
rnacentral:rRNA from 1 species